UUUAUUUAAUAAAAAAAAAAUAUGUCGAGAAAACUAAGUCAAUAGUAUUUAAAAUGUGGAAAAAGAGGGAACAACAACGGAUAAAUAUAACGAACUGAAAAGAAGACGACGACCAUGUGUGAGUGCCGUUACGAAGGCUACACUCCGAUCAACAACUGGAGUGUCAAGAACUUUAUAGUGGUCUGUACUAGCAUUAAGAUUACAAGGAGGUAACGGAGGACGGAGGAUCUGCGUGACAGAAAUUUGCUUUGGAAUUUUUCUGUGGAAAAAGAUGGGAUGUAGGGCACCAGGAGCUGACGUCAUAAUGUGUCCAUAGCUGACGGCAUAUUGUAUGUCGACAGUGUCAACAGACAGUUGGUGAAGACUGCCAAAACAAGAUGGGAAUGGGGAGACAAGCAGAGAUGGUAUAGAUGGGUACCAUGUCACCAAGAGAAAUAUGUAGCCCACACAAGCCAUCAUGAUGGUCCAACACAGCAGGAUACUGGAAGGAGAUGUGGUGGAAGUCACAGUGGCAGUAUGGAUCCCCCGUCGUAUGGCUCCAGUCCCUCCUCAGGAUCCCCUGUCCUAUGGCUCCAGUCCCUCCUCAGGAUCCCCUGUCCUAUGGCUCCAGUCCCUCCUCAGGAUCCCCCAUCCUAUGGCUCCAGUCCCUCCCUCCUCAGGAUCCCCCAUCCUAUGGCUCCAGUCCCUCAUCAGGAUCCCCCUAAACAAAGGUGCCUCUGACAUUUUGCCUCUGCUAGUUGGGGGUACCCAAGGAGGUAUUUUGCUGAUUUUUUUCCUUGGAAUGACUACUGCUUCAGUGUCUGUGCUGAGUGCAUAACAGUAUCACGUGAUAGUGUCUGGCACAGAGGCAUACAUUUCUCACUUUCUCUACCUUAACUUUCCAAACCUUGAUUUAACACAGCUUGUUCUUGUGCUGUACAUGAUGGAAGUCUGAAGUACCCUUUGUGGGCCACCUUUCUUCUGUCACCAGAAUCUCAUGCACUUUAUAUUUCUGUCAGGAACUGUGCCAAGUCUUCAACUAGGAUAUAUAUAUAUAUAUAUAUAUAUAUAUAUAUAUAUAUAUAUAUAUAUAUAUAUAUAUAUAUAUAUAUAUAUAUAUAUAUAUAUAUAUAUAUAUAUAAGGAAGGAUAGAUGUAGGAUAUAUAGAAAAAUGCAGUGGGCAGUUUAUUUUUUCUUUUUAAUAAUUUUCUUAAUUUUUCUUGUUAUAUUACACCUUCCUGUUGCACCCAAAAUUCAGGUUGUAGACAGUACAGUACACCUUCCAGUAGCAUCUAAAAUUCAGAUUAGACAGUAGUAAGGUGGUGUAUAAUUAUAUACAGCUGCCACACAGUAGCAGUCCCAUUAUUACUGCCUUAAACUGAAUUACCACUGCCUUAAACUCUGAAUUACCACAUCAGGAGAUGAUCUUGAUGUAGCUACAGGUGGCUUCAUUCCUGAAACCAGGCCUUUGACAGUAACUUGACAGACUGUAGAAGGCUGAAAAAAGAAAAAAAAACAUUAUCCUUUACCCAUGAAAAAAGUAUCCUUUUACACUAAUUGUUCCUACAUCUGGCAUGCCACAUUCUCUCCAGAAACUCUUUCACAGCCUCAAUCAUCCUUUCAUUCAGUAGCAGCACCACCAUCCAUUCCCUUCCUGUUUUCUCCACUCAUUAUUGCUAUCCUCCACUCAUUACUGUUAUUAUGCCCUAACUCUGAACCACUUGCAUCAUCUCUAUCCUAGGAUAGUCUCUGACUCUCACUCAAGCACCACAUUCUCCAUCUCAUCCUCUCCAAUGUUGCACAUCUGGCACACUGCUGCAGGACUCGUAUCUGCAAUUCCUUGCAUACUUAUCCAUACACUCCUUUCUCCUUAUACAAUUCCAGAUUUCAUUCCAUAUUCUUCCAUUCAUUCAAUCCCACACACUUCACUUCUGUCCAUCUCACUCCUCCAUUUUCUUGCAUCCCACUCUGCCUCUUGUCACAACCCAUUCACGUUCAUUUUGAUCCCGUUCAUUUUGAUAUCUCCCAGCCAUUCUCAUCCGGCACACUUUGUCACUCGUGCACCUCUUUCUCCAUUUGCUUCCUGCUUUUCCACAGAUACACCUUUUUUGCAUCACCCAUUCUUUCAAGCCGAAGUGUUGCUUCUGUAGCAAGUCUUUCCCUAAACUUGCUGCAUCCCAUACCACCACCUAAAGCUUCCACUGCUGUGUACCUAGGUACACUCAGUGCCAUCCAUGCUACUUUAUUCUGUCCCAUUUCUAACUUAGCACUUCAACUUUCAUUCCACUCUUCCACACUUCUCUCAGUAUAUUGUACUUGUUUGCUCUCAUCCUUGCUACACUUCCCAAUUGACCUGGUUCACCAACCUUAUCUUUUCAUUCUUUGCUUUUUCACACCCAUUCAGACUCAUCCACAUCCCUAAGUACUUGUAUUCUUGUACUGGUUUCAACUCGUUCUCUCCAAUUCUCCAUACAGCAUUACUUUACUCCUCUGACCUAUACACAAUCAUUACCUUACUUUUCUCACUGCUAAACCUCUCUUCCAUACCCAUCUACAACACCCUGCAAACUUUAGAGCUCAUCAGCUGAUUCACUCAUGACCACUACAUCUGCUUAAAACAGCACACCAUUUCCCACACUUACUCCUGCAUUCAUUCUUCUCAUUCUGGCUGCUAAGUGCUCUGUAUACAAGCUGGAAAGGGUUGGUGACAAUUUACAUCCUUGCCUAACUCCUAUCUUACUUUUCACCCAGUCUAUUUCUAUACAUCCUAGUCUGUAUGUAGCUCUCGUGUUAACAUAACAUGCUACGCAGUAUGUUUGUACUCAACCUAACCUUUUCUAAGACUCCUAGUCACCCUAUCAUAAGCAUUCUCUAUGUCCAGAAAAUACAGAAAACUAAAGUACAAUUUACCUCCAUCCCUCAGAGAACUCAAUCAUAUAAUUCACUACGAACAUAUCCUCAGCUCUCCAGUCCACUUGGAACCCAUUUUGUUCCUCAUCUAGCACUCCAGCUCUUUCAGUCUAUUUACACCUCAUUCAACACUGCACUGAACACUUUGCUUACUGUGUUCACUAAUGCAAUUGGCCUAUAGUUCAACUCUAAAGAAUCUCUUGUAUCCUUCCUUAUGCAAGUCAUGCUACUUUCAUUCUACAUUCUUGGCAUUCUCCUCCUCCCAUCCUCCUCCCACACCCAGUUAAAUACCUCAGUAGUCUUGUCAAUCACAACUUCCCCUCCAUUUUUAUACUUUUAUACAUCUUAGAUUACCUCAUCCAGCCCUGCUGCCUUCCCAUUCUUCUGCCUUUACACACAUUUUUUCACCUCCUCCCUGCUGAUUCUUUUAUCCAGUUAAUCUGCAUUCCUCCUCUCCACAGUGUCACAUAUCCUUCACACCUCACCUACACCAACCACUUUUUCCCAGAACUGUCUGAUUGCCUCCCUGAUUCCUUCCUUCCUGUUAUAACUUCAUUCACUUUCAAACUCUCCACACCAAUACUUUCUAACCUCAUGAACUUGUACCAUUCACAGCCAUGCCCUCACAUUCCAUGCCUGUAGAUCCAUUAAAGAUUAAUUCACACAUACUUCACUUUGGCUUUCAUUAUCAUUUGCCUUGUCAGUCUGCUGUUUCACAUACGCUGUCCAUGCAUUCUGAUACUCAUUCUCCACCUCAUCACUUUCAUGUCUUUUCCUCAGCCAUCUACACUCUUUUGCUCCUUCCUAGCCUCUCUUUAUCAUUCCAUCAUGGUUUACAUAUUCUCUUCUGCCUGCUCUUAAAUCCUAUCUGGUUCUCAGGAGUACUCCACACAUCCUCAACCAGUUUCUCAUUCAGGUGCUCAUCAUGCACACUUACAUACCAGCUUCUUUCAGAUCAACCUGAAAGUUCUUCCACCCCCACAUCUCUUGGUCUUCACUUACUUUUCUUACUUGCCACUUUCACUUCAUUCCCAACAUGCAUCAAGUACAUCACAACCAACAUAUUGUUAUCAGACAGUAUCAGCCAUACCAUCAUCUAUCCACAUGUGACAAUUUCACAUAUUCUUCCAUUCACCAACAUGUAGUCAAUCACUGAUUCAUGCUCCAUUGCAUUCCAAGUCACGCACCCCUCUGCCAAAAGUAACAUUCAGAUUUUCCAACUACAUUUCAUUACAACUCCAAGCAUUUCACCAUUCUUGUUCAUCCAUUCUCACAGUAAUGUGCAUUCAUGUCACCUACCAAUUAUUUUAUUUAUUUAUUUUUUUUUUAUGUAGGAGGGACACUUGCCAAGGGCAACAAAAAUCCAAUAAAAUAAAAAAAGCCCACUGAAAUGCCAGUCCCAUAAAAAGGUCCAAAGCGGUAGUCAAGAACUGAAGGAUAAGUGUCUUGAAACCUCCCUCUUGAAGGAAUUCAAGUCAUAGGAAGGUGGAAAUACAGAAGCAGGCAGGGAGUUCCAUAGUUUACCAGAGAAAGGGAUGAAUGAUUGAGAAUACUGGUUAACUCUUGCGGUAGAGAAGUGGACAGAAUAGGGGUGAGAGAAAGAAGAAAGUCUUGUACAGUGAGUCUGCGGGAGGAGGGGAGGCAUGCAGUCAUCGAGAUCAGAAGAGCAGUUAGCAUGAAGUUAGCUGUAGAAGACAGCUAGAGAUACAACAUUGCAGCAAUGAGAGAGGGGCUGAAGACAGUCAGAGAGGAGGAGUUGAUGAGAAAAAAGCUUUUGAUUCCACCCUGUCUAAAAGAGCAGUACGAGUGGAACCCCCCCACCCAAGACAUGUGAAGCAUACUCAAUACAUGGACGGAUAAGGCCCUUGUACAGAGUUAGCAGCUGGGGGGGGGCGGUGAGAAAAACUGGCGGAGACGUCGCAGAACACCAAACUUCAUAGAAGCUGUUUUAGCUAGAGAGAUGUGAAGUUUCCAGUUCAGAUUAUAAGUAAAGGGCAGACCGAGGAUGUUCAGUGUGGAAGAGGGGGACAGUUGAGUGUCAUUGAAGAAGAGGGGAUAGUUGUCUGGAAGGUUGUGUCGAAUUGAUAGAUGGAGGAAUGAGUUUUUGAGGCAUUGAACAAUACCAAGUUUGCUCUGCCCCAAUCAGAAAUUUUAAAAAGAUCAGAAGUCAAGCAUUCUGUACUCUUCCCUCCAUGCCCUCACAACUGUUAAUUUCUCCUCUUCUCCCCAUCACCUCUUUCACCCCAUGGCUAUCACACAGCUCUUUCACCCCGUGACAAUCACACACAAUCACCAAUACCAUUUCUGUUCUGCCAUGACCAUUUGCACAUUCCACUGCCAUCACAUCACUGGUUUCACACUUCCCUGCAUCAAUCUCUCCUUUCAGUCCUCUUCCUUUCUUGUGGAGUAAGGCUAUGCCUCCUUCCCGUGUCUCGUUUUCUCUCCUCUUUCCAGUCCUAACAUACGCACAUCCCUCCAUUCGUCUCAGGUGUGUCUCAGUCAGACUACAUCAAACUUCCCCACCCCCCAUCCUCUUACAUUCAUACGACCAAUCUUCACACAUUUACUCGCCUGGUUGCUUCUCUUCCCUGUCUGCCGUCGUCCGAGGGUCAUCAUGCCUCGCCCUCAUCCACUCAGCAGCCAGUCAUCGUCCUAGCUUUUCAUUCUCAACAUAGUUGAAGUAGACUCCGUCUCUCCCGUAAAACUUGUCCUCCAUUUCCUUCACUUCCAAGAAUUUGUAGGUACACUCCAGUUUCCUUCUCACAAAGUCUGGGGUCUUCCUCACCAUGCUGUCUCCAAUUACAUGCACUGGGGCUUUCUUGAACAGCAUUCUCUUCUUUCUGAUCCUGAGCUUACCACACCAGCAGAUGCCACUGAUCCUGAAGUGUAUUUAGAGAAGAGAACACUCACUUUCAUAGGACACUUCCUUUUCACCCUCCCAAAACUCACCUAAUUUGGCAUCUUGCUUCUCAACCUCCAGCCCUCAAUACACAGGUCAUAUUACUUUCCAUAUAACUUCAGGCUUUAUCAGGCUCUUUGGUUGACUGGCACUCCUUAGUUGACUCAUAUAAGAUAAUCACAUCUUCCUCUCAUCUCCCUCCCCCCCAAGAGAACUUCAAAGGCUUUGAUCUGAUGUCCCCCCCUCAGCAUGGCGAAUCUAAUCACAAAAUAAAACCCUCUUUCUCCCCCCUUGUCCAUCCUUACAAAGAUCUUCCUUCCCUUAGCACACAAACCUCGAAAAGACCGCGCCACCACUACCAGACACUACACUGGUCCAGAGUAUGAAGACUUCUGUGGCAAUUUGCCAGUCCGUAAUAUAAAUAUAUAUUAUUGCCAAUCCAAUCAAUAUAUAUUGCUAAUUAAUAUAUAUUAAUGUAAUGUAUGUAUACGCCUUUUUGACCUAAAUAAAUGUUGGGUUAUGG